rnacentral:lncRNA from 1 species
CCCGUUAAUUCCCAUUUUUUUUCCCAUUUUCCCAUUCCCAUUUUUCCCAUUCCCAUCCCCCAUUUUUUCCCAUUUUUCCCAUUCCCAAUUCCCAUUUUCCAUUCCCAUUUUCCCAUUUUUCAUUCCCAUUUUCCCAUCCCCAUUUUCCCAUUUUCCCAUUCCAUUUCCCAUUCCCGUUUUUCCCAUUCCCAUUCCCAAUUCCCAUUUUUGUUCCCAUUUUUCCCGUUCCCAUCCCCCCUUGUCCCAUUUUUCCCACUCCCAAUUCCUGAUUUUCCCAAUUCCCGUUUUGCCUGUUAAUUCCCAUUUUUUUUCCCAUUUUUCCCAUUUUUUUCCCAUUUUUCCCAUUCCCAUUUUUCCCAUUUUUUCCCCAUUUUUUUCCCCCAUUUUUCCCAUUUUUUUUCCCCCAUUUUUCCCCAUUUUUUUCCCCAUUUUUUUCCCCAUUUUUUUCCCCCAUUUUCCCCAUUUUUUCCAUUCCCAUUUUUCCCGUUAUUUUUCCCGUUUUUCCCGCUCAUUCCCGCUGUUUUUCCCCCCGGAGCAGCCCCCCCAUCCGCAUCAAGGAGGAGCCUCCCAGCCCCACCCGGAGCCCGCGGCCGGAGGAGCCCCGGAACUCCGGGAAUUCCGGGAAUUCCGGGAAUUCCGAGACCCCCCUGUCCCCCUCCACCUUCAUCGACUCCAUCCUGCGGGAAAACGACUCCGGAGCCGCUCCCGGGAAUCCCCAAUCCCAGGAAAAGUGCCUGAGCCUCGCCUGCCUCGACAAGGCGGAGCUGAGCGAGCACCUGGACACGAUCGACUCCGGCCUGGAGAACCUGCAGGCGCUGCUCAGCACCCACGGCUUCAGCAUGGACAGCGCCCUGCUCGACCUCUUCAGCCCUUCCGUGGCGGUUCCGGACGUGACCCUGCCGGACCUGGACAGCAGCUUGGCCAGCGUGAGCUCGGAAUUCCGUGGGAAUUCUGGGGAAAAAUUCCGGGAAUUCCAGGAAAAAAAUCUGGGAAUUCCAGGAAAAAAAAAAAAUCCCCGCCCCCACGGAGGAAAAAUCCCGGAUUUUCCCUGGAAAAUCCUUGGAAUUCCUCAGGAAUUUGAUCCCAAAUCCCAGCCCGGCUCCGGGUUUUCCAUGGAAAAUCUCAGAGGGAUUUUUUUGGGAUGGAUUUUCCCGGUGGAAUUCCGGGAUUUUGGGGUUUUUUGGGAAUAAUUUGGGAGAUUCCCGGGGUUUCUUUGGGAUGUUUUGUGGGAAUGUUUCGGUCUCGGAAGGAGAGGGGGGAUCCCGGAGCGGCUCCGGAAUUCC